rnacentral:rRNA from 1 species
UUAAGCGACUAAGCGUACACGGUGGAUGCCCUGGCAGUCAGAGGCGAUGAAGGACGUGCUAAUCUGCGAUAAGCGUCGGUAAGGUGAUAUGAACCGUUAUAACCGGCGAUUUCCGAAUGGGGAAACCCAGUGUGAUUCGUCACACUAUCAUUAACUGAAUCCAUAGGUUAAUGAGGCGAACCGGGGGAACUGAAACAUCUAAGUACCCCGAGGAAAAGAAAUCAACCGAGAUUCCCCCAGUAGCGGCGAGCGAACGGGGAGGAGCCCAGAGCCUGAAUCAGUGUGUGUGUUAGUGGAAGCGUCUGGAAAGGCGCGCGAUACAGGGUGACAGCCCCGUACACAAAAAUGCACAUGCUGUGAGCUCGAUGAGUAGGGCGGGACACGUGGUAUCCUGUCUGAAUAUGGGGGGACCAUCCUCCAAGGCUAAAUACUCCUGACUGACCGAUAGUGAACCAGUACCGUGAGGGAAAGGCGAAAAGAACCCCGGCGAGGGGAGUGAAAAAGAACCUGAAACCGUGUACGUACAAGCAGUGGGAGCACAGAGCAAUCUGUGUGACUGCGUACCUUUUGUAUAAUGGGUCAGCGACUUAUAUUCUGUAGCAAGGUUAACCGAAUAGGGGAGCCGAAGGGAAACCGAGUCUUAACUGGGCGUUAAGUUGCAGGGUAUAGACCCGAAACCCGGUGAUCUAGCCAUGGGCAGGUUGAAGGUUGGGUAACACUAACUGGAGGACCGAACCGACUAAUGUUGAAAAAUUAGCAGAUGACUUGUGGCUGGGGGUGAAAGGCCAAUCAAACCGGGAGAUAGCUGGUUCUCCCCGAAAGCUAUUUAGGUAGCGCCUCGUGAAUUCAUCUCCGGGGGUAGAGCACUGUUUCGGCAAGGGGGUCAUCCCGACUUACCAACCCGAUGCAAACUGCGAAUACCGGAGAAUGUUAUCACGGGAGACACACGGCGGGUGCUAACGUCCGUCGUGAAGAGGGAAACAACCCAGACCGCCAGCUAAGGUCCCAAAGUCAUGGUUAAGUGGGAAACGAUGUGGGAAGGCCCAGACAGCCAGGAUGUUGGCUUAGAAGCAGCCAUCAUUUAAAGAAAGCGUAAUAGCUCACUGGUCGAGUCGGCCUGCGCGGAAGAUGUAACGGGGCUAAACCAUGCACCGAAGCUGCGGCAGCGACGCUUAUGCGUUGUUGGGUAGGGGAGCGUUCUGUAAGCCUGUGAAGGUGUGCUGUGAGGCAUGCUGGAGGUAUCAGAAGUGCGAAUGCUGACAUAAGUAACGAUAAAGCGGGUGAAAAGCCCGCUCGCCGGAAGACCAAGGGUUCCUGUCCAACGUUAAUCGGGGCAGGGUGAGUCGACCCCUAAGGCGAGGCCGAAAGGCGUAGUCGAUGGGAAACAGGUUAAUAUUCCUGUACUUGGUGUUACUGCGAAGGGGGGACGGAGAAGGCUAUGUUGGCCGGGCGACGGUUGUCCCGGUUUAAGCGUGUAGGCUGGUUUUCCAGGCAAAUCCGGAAAAUCAAGGCUGAGGCGUGAUGACGAGGCACUACGGUGCUGAAGCAACAAAUGCCCUGCUUCCAGGAAAAGCCUCUAAGCAUCAGGUAACAUCAAAUCGUACCCCAAACCGACACAGGUGGUCAGGUAGAGAAUACCAAGGCGCUUGAGAGAACUCGGGUGAAGGAACUAGGCAAAAUGGUGCCGUANGAUCUAGCCAUGGGCAGGUUGAAGGUUGGGUAACACUAACUGGAGGACCGAACCGACUAAUGUUGAAAAAUUAGCGGAUGACUUGUGGCUGGGGGUGAAAGGCCAAUCAAACCGGGAGAUAGCUGGUUCUCCCCGAAAGCUAUUUAGGUAGCGCCUCGUGAAUUCAUCUCCGGGGGUAGAGCACUGUUUCGGCAAGGGGGUCAUCCCGACUUACCAACCCGAUGCAAACUGCGAAUACCGGAGAAUGUUAUCACGGGAGACACACGGCGGGUGCUAACGUCCGUCGUGAAGAGGGAAACAACCCAGACCGCCAGCUAAGGUCCCAAAGUCAUGGUUAAGUGGGAAACGAUGUGGGAAGGCCCAGACAGCCAGGAUGUUGGCUUAGAAGCAGCCAUCAUUUAAAGAAAGCGUAAUAGCUCACUGGUCGAGUCGGCCUGCGCGGAAGAUGUAACGGGGCUAAACCAUGCACCGAAGCUGCGGCAGCGACGCUGAUGCGUUGUUGGGUAGGGGAGCGUUCUGUAAGCCUGUGAAGGUGUGCUGUGAGGCAUGCUGGAGGUAUCAGAAGUGCGAAUGCUGACAUAAGUAACGAUAAAGCGGGUGAAAAGCCCGCUCGCCGGAAGACCAAGGGUUCCUGUCCAACGUUAAUCGGGGCAGGGUGAGUCGACCCCUAAGGCGAGGCCGAAAGGCGUAGUCGAUGGGAAACAGGUUAAUAUUCCUGUACUUGGUGUUACUGCGAAGGGGGGACGGAGAAGGCUAUGUUGGCCGGGCGACGGUUGUCCCGGUUUAAGCGUGUAGGCUGGUUUUCCAGGCAAAUCCGGAAAAUCAAGGCUGAGGCGUGAUGACGAGGCACUACGGUGCUGAAGCAACAAAUGCCCUGCUUCCAGGAAAAGCCUCUAAGCAUCAGGUAACAUCAAAUCGUACCCCAAACCGACACAGGUGGUCAGGUAGAGAAUACCAAGGCGCUUGAGAGAACUCGGGUGAAGGAACUAGGCAAAAUGGUGCCGUAACUUCGGGAGAAGGCACGCUGAUAUGUAGGUGAAGCGACUUGCUCGUGGAGCUGAAAUCAGUCGAAGAUACCAGCUGGCUGCAACUGUUUAUUAAAAACACAGCACUGUGCAAACACGAAAGUGGACGUAUACGGUGUGACGCCUGCCCGGUGCCGGAAGGUUAAUUGAUGGGGUUAGCGCAAGCGAAGCUCUUGAUCGAAGCCCCGGUAAACGGCGGCCGUAACUAUAACGGUCCUAAGGUAGCGAAAUUCCUUGUCGGGUAAGUUCCGACCUGCACGAAUGGCGUAAUGAUGGCCAGGCUGUCUCCACCCGAGACUCAGUGAAAUUGAACUCGCUGUGAAGAUGCAGUGUACCCGCGGCAAGACGGAAAGACCCCGUGAACCUUUACUAUAGCUUGACACUGAACAUUGAGCCUUGAUGUGUAGGAUAGGUGGGAGGCUUUGAAGUGUGGACGCCAGUCUGCAUGGAGCCGACCUUGAAAUACCACCCUUUAAUGUUUGAUGUUCUAACGUUGACCCGUAAUCCGGGUUGCGGACAGUGUCUGGUGGGUAGUUUGACUGGGGCGGUCUCCUCCUAAAGAGUAACGGAGGAGCACGAAGGUUGGCUAAUCCUGGUCGGACAUCAGGAGGUUAGUGCAAUGGCAUAAGCCAGCUUGACUGCGAGCGUGACGGCGCGAGCAGGUGCGAAAGCAGGUCAUAGUGAUCCGGUGGUUCUGAAUGGAAGGGCCAUCGCUCAACGGAUAAAAGGUACUCCGGGGAUAACAGGCUGAUACCGCCCAAGAGUUCAUAUCGACGGCGGUGUUUGGCACCUCGAUGUCGGCUCAUCACAUCCUGGGGCUGAAGUAGGUCCCAAGGGUAUGGCUGUUCGCCAUUUAAAGUGGUACGCGAGCUGGGUUUAGAACGUCGUGAGACAGUUCGGUCCCUAUCUGCCGUGGGCGCUGGAGAACUGAGGGGGGCUGCUCCUAGUACGAGAGGACCGGAGUGGACGCAUCACUGGUGUNUAUGUAGGUGAAGUCCCUCGCGGAUGGAGCUGAAAUCAGUCGAAGAUACCAGCUGGCUGCAACUGUUUAUUAAAAACACAGCACUGUGCAAACACGAAAGUGGACGUAUACGGUGUGACGCCUGCCCGGUGCCGGAAGGUUAAUUGAUGGGGUUAGCGCAAGCGAAGCUCUUGAUCGAAGCCCCGGUAAACGGCGGCCGUAACUAUAACGGUCCUAAGGUAGCGAAAUUCCUUGUCGGGUAAGUUCCGACCUGCACGAAUGGCGUAAUGAUGGCCAGGCUGUCUCCACCCGAGACUCAGUGAAAUUGAACUCGCUGUGAAGAUGCAGUGUACCCGCGGCAAGACGGAAAGACCCCGUGAACCUUUACUAUAGCUUGACACUGAACAUUGAGCCUUGAUGUGUAGGAUAGGUGGGAGGCUUUGAAGUGUGGACGCCAGUCUGCAUGGAGCCGACCUUGAAAUACCACCCUUUAAUGUUUGAUGUUCUAACGUGGACCCGUAAUCCGGGUUGCGGACAGUGUCUGGUGGGUAGUUUGACUGGGGCGGUCUCCUCCUAAAGAGUAACGGAGGAGCACGAAGGUUGGCUAAUCCUGGUCGGACAUCAGGAGGUUAGUGCAAUGGCAUAAGCCAGCUUGACUGCGAGCGUGACGGCGCGAGCAGGUGCGAAAGCAGGUCAUAGUGAUCCGGUGGUUCUGAAUGGAAGGGCCAUCGCUCAACGGAUAAAAGGUACUCCGGGGAUAACAGGCUGAUACCGCCCAAGAGUUCAUAUCGACGGCGGUGUUUGGCACCUCGAUGUCGGCUCAUCACAUCCUGGGGCUGAAGUAGGUCCCAAGGGUAUGGCUGUUCGCCAUUUAAAGUGGUACGCGAGCUGGGUUUAGAACGUCGUGAGACAGUUCGGUCCCUAUCUGCCGUGGGCGCUGGAGAAUUGAGGGGGGCUGCUCCUAGUACGAGAGGACCGGAGUGGACGCAUCACUGGUGUUCGGGUUGUCAUGCCAAUGGCACUGCCCGGUAGCUAAAUGCGGAAGAGAUAAGUGCUGAAAGCAUCUAAGCACGAAACUUGCCCCGAGAUGAGUUCUCCCUGACCCUUUAAGGGUCCUGAAGGAACGUUGAAGACGACGACGUUGAUAGGCCGGGUGUGUAAGCGCAGCGAUGCGUUGAGCUAACCGGUACUAAUGAACCGUGAGGCUUAACCUU